rnacentral:rRNA from 1 species
UACCAGCUCUCCGAGUGGUAGGGAUGUUUAUUGGGCUUAAAGCGCCCGUAGCCGGCUUAGCAAGUCUCCUGUUAAAUUCAGCGACCUAAUCGUUGAGCCGCGGGAGAUACUACUAGGCUAGGAGGCGGGAGAGGUCAACGGUACUUCCGGGGUAGGGGUGAAAUCCUAUAAUCCCGGGAGGACCACCAGUGGCGAAGGCUGUUGACUAGAACGCGCUCGACGGUGAGGGACGAAAGCUGGGGGAGCGAACCGGAUUAGAUACCCGGGUAGUCCCAGCUGUAAACGAUGCGAGCUAGGUGUUGGGGUGGCUACGUGCCACUUCAGUGCCGCAGGGAAGCCAUUAAGCUCGCCGCCUGGGGAGUACGGCCGCAAGGCUGAAACUUAAAGGAAUUGGCGGGGAGCACCACAAGGCGUGAAGCUUGCGGUUC